AAAUGUGCAGCAGGCAGGCUGGUAUAGUGAAGGAGAUCAACAUUGCCCUGCAGGUUGAUGCCAAUUUCUAGUCCAACAAUCUCAUGUGUUAGGCAGUGAUUGUUUUACAGAUGCAGAAACUGGCACUCAGAGGAUAUGAGUGACUUGGGCAAAGCCACAUGGCUGGGGCCUGGCUGCACUCGGGUUCCGUGCUUGGAGCUAUGGCAACUUCCUCACGUCCAUUUCAGUCUUUUCCCUUAAUGCUCACCCCUGCUUCCAUUUUCAGUCAUGAUCAGCCGCACACUGGGGCCCGAGGUUGGGGGCAGCAUCGGGCUCAUGUUCUACCUGGCUAACGUCUGUGGCUGUGCCGUCUCCCUCCUGGGGCUGGUGGAGUCUGUGCUUGAUGUCUUCGGGGCCGGUCUGUGCUCUGUCCGAUCUGGGCAGUGCUUUGGGUUUGCAGGGUCUGGGAGUGUGGGAUCAUGAGGGAGAAGGUCCUCUCCAGGAGAGGGGCAGACUGAGCCAUUACUUUGGCUUUCUGGAGCUUCUGCUGUGUGGCCAGCAUCGUGCAGGAGAUGUGGACAUCCCUGAGAUUGUCCUUGCCUACAGGGAGCUAACCAUCUAAUCAGAGAGACCGGGCUAAGAUUCUUAAAAUUGACAGAGACCACCAGGGAGAGCUAAGAUGCUAGGAUGGAGCUAAGAGGGAAGUGGGGAAGGUGGUCUCUCUGAUAGCAGGUGGGCAGAGGAGGGCUCGUCUUGCUUUGGGUCAUGGUUGGGGCUGGGUCCCUUCUUAUUUAUUUAUUUAUUUUGAGAUGGAGUCUUGCUUUGUCGCCCAGGCUGGAGUGCAGUUGUGCGAUCUUCGCUCACUGCAACCUUUGCCUCCCGGGUUCAAGUGAUUCUCCUGCCUCAGCCUCUUGAGUAGAUGGGAUUACAAGCACUCACCACCAUGCCUGGCUAAUGUUUGUAUUUUUAGUAGAGACAGGGUUUCACCAUGUUGGCCAGGCUGGUCUCGAACUCCUGACCUCAAAUGAUCCACCUGCCUCAGCUUCCCAAAGUGUUGGGAUUAUAGGCGUGAGCCCCGGCAGACUGCCCCUUCUUUUUUUUUUUUUUUUUCUUGAGACAAGGUCUCUGUCACCCAAGCUGGAGUGCAGUGGUACCAUCUCGGCUCAAUGCAACUUCUGCCUCCCGGGUUCACACGAUUCUCCCACCUCAGCCUCCCAGUAGCUGGGACUACAGGCAUGCCUCCCUACACCUGGCUAAUUUUUGCAGUUUUUGUGGAGCUGGGGUUUCACAAUGUUGCCCAGGCUAGUUUUAAACUCCUGGACUUAAGCGAUCCUCUCAUUUGGCCUCCCAAAGUGCUGAAAUUGUAGGUGUGAGCCACCCACCAUGCCCGGCCGGUGGGGUGCCUUAGGAUCGGGCCUUCUAACUCUGUCCCUACCUCUCUCCAGAUGCCACAGGGACCAGUGGGCUCCGGGUCCUGCCCCAGGGCUACGGCUGGAACCUGCUGUAUGGCUCCCUGCUGCUGGGCCUUGUGGGUGGGGUCUGCACCCUGGGAGCCGGCCUCUACGCCCGGGCCUCAUUCCUGACAUUCCUGCUGGUCUCCGGCUCCCUGGCCUCCGUGCUUAUCAGCUUUGUGGCUGUGGGGCCGAGGGACAUCCGCUUGACCCCUCGGCCUGGCCCCAAUGGCUCCUCCCUGCCACCCCGGUUUGGCCACUUCACCGGCUUCAACAGCAAUACCCUGAAGGACAACUUGGGUGCUGGCUAUGCUGAGGACUACACCACGGGAGCCAUGAUGAAUUUUGCCAGCGUCUUUGCUGUCCUCUUUAACGGCUGUACAGGCAUCAUGGCUGGGGCCAACAUGUCAGGGGAGCUGAAGGACCCCAGCCGGGCGAUCCCUCUGGGCACGAUCGUCGCCGUCGCCUACACCUUCUUCGUCUAUGUCCUGCUUUUCUUUCUCUCCAGCUUCACUUGUGGCAGGACCCUGCUGCAGGAAGACUAUGGGUUCUUCCGCGCCAUCAGCCUGUGGCCCCCACUGGUGUUGAUCGGAAUCUAUGCCACGGCACUCUCAGCAUCCAUGAGCUCGCUCAUUGGUGCCUCCCGCAUCCUCCAUGCCCUGGCCCGGGAUGACCUCUUUGGAGUGAUCUUGGCACCAGCCAAGGUUGUGUCCCGAGGGGGAAACCCCUGGGCGGCUGUACUGUAUUCUUGGGGACUGGUGCAGCUGGUGCUCCUGGCUGGGAAGCUGAACACGCUGGCCGCUGUGGUCACUGUCUUCUAUCUGGUGGCCUAUGCUGCCGUGGACCUGUCCUGCCUGAGCCUGGAGUGGGCCUCGGCCCCCAACUUCCGCCCCACCUUCAGCCUGUUCUCCUGGCACACCUGCCUGCUGGGGGUGGCCUCCUGCCUGCUCAUGAUGUUCCUCAUCAGUCCUGGCGCGGCCGGUGGCUCCCUGCUCCUCAUGGGUCUGCUGGCUGCCCUGCUCACCGUGCGAGGAGGCCCCAGUAGCUGGGGCUAUGUCAGCCAGGCCUUGCUUUUCCACCAGGUGCGUAAGUAUCUGCUCCGGCUGGACGUCCGGAAGGAUCACGUGAAGUUCUGGCGGCCCCAGCUGCUGCUCCUGGUGGGGAACCCCCGGGGUUCCCUGCCUCUGCUGCGGUUGGCCAACCAGCUUAAGAAGGGGGGGCUCUACGUGCUGGGCCACGUCACUCUGGGAGACCUCGACUCCCUACCCUCGGACCCUGUACAGCCGCAGUACGGGGCAUGGCUCAGCCUGGUGGACCGUGCCCAGGUGAAGGCUUUUGUGGAUCUAACCCUCUCACCCUCCGUGCGCCAGGGGGCUCAGCAUCUGCUGCGAAUCUCUGGCCUCGGUGGCAUGAAGCCCAACACGUUGGUCCUGGGUUUCUACGAUGACACUCCACCGCAGGACCAUUUCCUGACGGACCCGGCUUUCUCUGAGCCUGCAGACAGCACCAGGGAGGGCAGUUCCCCAGCUCUGAGCACCCUGUUCCCUCCUCCCCGGGCUCCUGGGAGCCCCCGGGCUCUCAGUCCCCAGGACUACGUGGCCACGGUGGCCGAUGCCCUCAAGAUGAACAAGAAUGUGGUGCUGGCCCGGGCCAGCGGGGCCUUGCCCCCUGAGCGGCUGAGCCGGGGGUCUGGGGGCACCUCUCAGCUGCACCACGUGGACGUGUGGCCCCUCAACCUGCUGCGGCCCCGGGGUGGGCCCGGCUACGUGGAUGUCUGCGGUCUCUUCCUGCUGCAGAUGGCAACCAUCUUGGGCAUGGUGCCCGCUUGGCAUAGUGCCCGGCUCCGGAUCUUCCUGUGCCUGGGGCCUCGGGAGGCGCCUGGGGCUGCCGAGGGGCGGCUGCGGGCACUGCUGAGCCAACUGAGGAUCCGGGCUGAGGUGCAGGAGGUGGUGUGGGGCGAGGGGGCCGGGGCUGGGGAACCCGAGGCGGAGGAGGAAGGGGACUUUGUGAACAGUGGGUGGGGAGACGCAGAGGCAGAGGCCCUGGCACGCAGCGCCAACGCCCUGGUUCGGGCCCAGCAGGGGCGCGGCACAGGAGGAGGGCCGGGUGGACCGGAGGGUGGGGAUGCUGAGGGCACCACCACAGCCCUCACCUUCCUGUACUUGCCUCGGCCACCAGCCGAUCCCGCCCGAUACCCCCGCUACCUAGCUCUACUGGAGACUCUAACCCGAGACCUGGGCCCCACGCUGCUGGUUCAUGGGGUCACUCCAGUCACCUGCACUGAUCUCUGAUGCCCCUGCCUCCAGGGCUAGGUAGAGAGGGCCCAGGCAGGCGGCCUAUCCUGAUCCUUGGAGGAGGAAGAGGAGGAGGGAAGCACUGUGUCCCAUGGCCCUGCUCUUGGGAGGUGGAGCCCAGGGGAGGUUUGAAGGGGAUCCUGGGCUUGGGCAUCACGCCCACCUCCUUUGGCAGAGGGACCCCAGCACACUAACUCUGGGCGGCUGUCCCCACCGUGCAGGGGAAGGAGUCCGCAGCCUCCCUUCACUGGUGCCUUGACGCUAGGGGCCAGGCCUCCUCCGUGACUCUGGGCUACCUCAGUUUCCCCAUUUUGGCAAGACUCACCGGCCCACUGGGGUGGUGAUGUUUUCGUUCUGUUUUAUUUUUCUAACUCUGCUGACCAUGAAUAAAAGACCAAAACACU
rnacentral:sRNA from 1 species